UACGUAGGGUGCAAGCGUUGUCCGGAAUUAUUGGGCGUAAAGAGCUCGUAGGUGGUUUGUCGCGUUGUUCGUGAAAACUCACAGCUCAACUGUGGGCGUGCGGGCGAUACGGGGCAGACUAGAGUACUGCAGGGGAGACUGGAAUUCCUGGUGUAGCGGUGGAAUGCGCAGAUAUCAGGAGGAACACCGGUGGCGAAGGCGGGGUCUCUGGGCAGUAACUGACGCUGAGGAGCGAAAGCGUGGGGAGCGAACAGG
rnacentral:rRNA from 1 species